UAAUACGAGAGGCCCAAACGUUAUUCGGAAUUACUGGGCUUAAAGAGUUCGUAGGCGGCGCGGAAAGUGGGGUGUGAAAUCCCUCGGCUCAACCGAGGAAUUGCGCUCCAAACUGCCGUGCUUGAGGGACCUAGAGGUGAGCGGAACUGAUGGUGGAGCGGUGAAAUGCGUUGAUAUCAUCAGGAACACCGGAGGCGAAGGCGGCUCACUGGGGGUCUUCUGACGCUGAGGAACGAAAGCCAGGGGAGCGAACGGGAUUAGAUACCCCGGUAGUCCUGGCCGUAAACGAUGAGCACUAGGCCGGAGGGCUGCACAGCCUUUCGGCCGUAGCUAAAGUGUUAAGUGCUCCGCCUGGGGAGUAUGGUCGCAAGGCUG
rnacentral:rRNA from 1 species